UAACCCUACGGGAGGCAGCAGUGAGGAAUAUUGGUCAAUGGCCGGAAGGCUGAACCAGCCAAGCCGCGUGAGGGAGGAAGGCGCAGAGCGUCGCAGACCUCUUUUGCCGGGGGACAAAAGGCCGGACUUGUCCGGUCCUGAGGGUACCCGGAGAAAAAGCAUCGGCUAACUCCGUGCCGGCAGCCGCGGUAAUACGGAGGAUGCGAGCGUUAUCCGGAUUCAUUGGGUUUAAAGGGUGCGCAGGCGGGCCUUUAAGCCGGCGGAG
rnacentral:rRNA from 1 species